CAAUUACUUGGAGUAUUGAUUUAUUGAUUUUAUUCAGGCGCUGGCGCAACCAUUGUAGCAGUGUUGCCAAUUCAGCUUCUUUCCCAUCACUUUCAGCUUGUUUGAAACGAGAACUGCGGUUGUUUAAAAUCUUUCAAAACAAGCUGAUUUCUCUCCAGAAGCUGGACACUCAGCGCAACACUGGCGCCAGUUGUAUUUUUAUCGGUAGUGUCUUCUUCAUCUAAAAAGGAAUUAUCUGUUAACUGCAAGAAGUGAUGGUCGAUUUGGGAUCCGGGUUACAAUUAAAAUGUCACCCUUUAAUUUUGGCGAAUAGAUGAUUGGGAUACCAACAACACCGCAAACUUCGAAAAUGAGGAACUUUUUAAGAAUUUAGUGAACAACACAGGCCAUAAUUGGACAGAAUUCAAGAUAAAGUGGAUUGGAUUUUAUGUUAGGUCAGUAACAGAAUGGCGUCUGAAAUUUUAAUUUUAGUACUGACCAACGUAAGGAGGUUCAUGUUAUUUCCAUAGGCAGUAUCAACAGCCGCCUUACAGAAACUACGUUGUUAAAAAAUUCAAAGUUGCCGAGUUGUAGCUCACAACAUACUCGAUGAUAUAGAUAUAAUCAAAACACGGAGAUACCAACCAUUUGUUUUAAAAAAAAUUUGUUUGACUUCGUGGUCUAGGAAUCUAGAUAGCCCAGAUCAUGGAUAAUGAUUGUUUGUCGUAAAUUUGUAUUAUCAAUGCUUUAUUAAUAUUAAUAUUACUUAACAAAUACAAUAUAUAUAAUGCAAAGAUAAGCUGGCUUGGAUGUCCCUGCUGGAAAUCUUCAAGCUCCCCAACAUAGCAAAUCAGCAGAAGAGUGGAAGCGCUGAAGGAGAUCCACUGCAGAAGCAUAUUGCGUGCCGUAAGAAAGUAUGUGCAAUGAAGAAAUCGCUGGACCCCACCACCAGCUACUAGGUAGCUAAGACGGAGCUGGAGGCCGCGUAUGGGACAUCACUAAGAAUGGAAAGCUGGAAGAGCCAUAACCAGAGCUUGUCAGGAUGCUGAGCGACUUUCUGCAUCAACAGCUGAACAACCCCGUUCCCAUUCAGGCACCCACUCCCUUUGAGCAUGCGACGAAAGAUGCUGCCAAGGUGGAAUACUAGUGAAGGGGGAGCAAGAAUCAAAUAGGCGGCUAACGCUUUUAGUCGGGUGUGUUUUUGACCGCGGUACUCAGAGGAGCUACUGAAAUACUAAAAAAAUUCUAGAUGUCGUGAGUCAUUGCCAAGAUGCUGUACGAUUUCCUGCAGCAUCAGUAGAACAUCCCCGUUCCCAAUUCGCCACCCACUCCCUCAAGGCCCACGUUUGCAUAUAAGGGAACGGAGUUGGACCGCAGAAGGCGCGGAGAACAUGGCGAAACGAAGAGGAACCUUAAAAGUACUUAUUUGCACAAAUAAAACAUCCCUAGAAAAUUCCAUUUAUUUUUAAUUCAAUUUAUAUGUGUACCAGCAGACUAGUUUUGUUUUAAAUUGCUCCAAUUGAUUUGUUUUCCGUUUGUCAACAAAAAAAACUCAGCUGCUUGACAAGACGACCAUGCUACAUUCAUUGUGGGUCAACUUUGAAAAAUUCGGUCACACUAUAAGGAAUACGAUUUUUGACUAGUAAUACUCUUAUACCCCCUGCAUAGGAUUCCUGUUCACGCUGAAGCGAACAGCUGAUCGGCAUCAGCAAAUGCCAAUUCAGAUACUCCGAAUAACCGCGCAAAACUAAAUACAAUUUGAUCGCUAGCAUGUGGAAUGUUUUCAGCACCAAAUGGUUAUUUCAUUUCAGGAAAUCAAUCAAGGAUGAGAUUUCCAUUCAGGCAAGCUAAGUGUACUAUUUUCAUAAGUUAUAGGCGUCGGGACUCUUUUAUGUUUUUAUAACACCCCAUGGCUCCUUCUAUAGAAAAAUAAUGUAUAUUUUGUUGCAACAGGUGCCAGGAGGUUAUGCCAAGAAGGACAUAAGCUGGAGGCUGCUCAUUUCCAUAAAAAAAAAAUGGAUAUCAAAAUUUCUUUUCAAGACGAGAUCGAUUGCUGGGUUCUGAGACGUUGGGAGGCUCCUUGGGCCUGCACCAACAAUUUUCUGAACAAAAUUUAACUAAACUCCUAAGAAUAUACCGAAUAAAACACUGGAUUACUGAAUUGUCCCAUUCUGCACUGCAGCGAGUUGUAGCGACUUUUUUCCGUCACUUUCCCACACGUGUAUUUCUUAUAGCCUAGUACUCAGAUCGGCUAAGAGUUUCACUAGUCGAAAAAUCUUAUUCUUUGUAGUGUGGCCGAAGUUUUCAAAGUU